CACCCCUCAGUGUUUCCUCCACCUCCGUGGGCCCUCCUUUGGUGUCCCCCUCCAGGCCCCCUUGUCCUCUUCCCCCUUCGUUACCCCUCCCCCUCCACAGCCCCUCCCCCUCGGCGUCCUCUUCCCUCGCUGCCCCACCCCUACAUCGCUCCCUUGGCUCCUGAUUUUCAGCUUGGGCCCUGCACCUGACCAGAGGCACUGCUCUGGCUGCCUAGGAAGAGGGUUUGGAAACAGCCGUCGCUGAUGGGAUCCCGCUCUGCCUUCUGCCCCGGAGUGACGACUUUGGAUGCGCUUUGCCCCAGGGCCUUUCCUCAUGGAGCUGGCCUUUUCCCUGCCCUUCUCUUCUGGCGCGGUGAACUGCCUCCCGUCUCCUGGAUCACUUUGCUGGCGGCCACCUUGUAACACCUCAGCCACAGGUGCAGCAGUGUCCUGGGUCCAGGCUCACCUCUGUGGAACCAUCCUGCUGCUCUCCCCAGGGCUCCGGGGAUGUGUGUGUUUUCUUGCAGGAGCAUACUUCUUUGAUUAAAGGAAGAGAGAGAGUACUGGGCAGAUAAAGCUGGGAAACGCAAAGAAGCUCCAAGUGAAGAAGCCAAAGCAGAAAAAUCAGGGAAGAUGGGGUGAAGACCAGCAGUGCUUGAGAGAAGAAAAUAAAUUCUCCAUUUCAAAAGAAAAUCCAGGGCGGGACAAUCUUAUUGUGGGUCUUUGUUUCCGCUUGAGCGGAGUUAGGAAUCCACAGGACUGCGGAGCGGGUUGGUAACGCGAGCCGCCUCUGACAGGUACAGAAAUCUGGCUCUUGCACAUUCGUGUCGGGGCCCACGUGUAACAAGGGGGUCUGGCAUCUCCCUCAUGUGCCAGGGGCCCUUCCUGUUUGUUUGUUUUUGUUUUAGAUAAAUGAUCUUGUCAGAUUGUUACUGUGGUAACAAUCAGUGUGACCACAUCUUUUUCAAAGAUUAGAACCGAAGAAAGAUUGAAAAGCAUUAAGCCUGCAGUCCUCACUCACCUUUCUCUGCCUCUGCUCUCUUCUCUGCUGCUUUCUUGUGUCCGAUAAUCAUGUAAAUAGCUUUCUGUGUCCAGCAGAACAAAGAAAAAAGCCUGAUGGAAAAAUGGUUAGGUUUUGCUUUUGAGAAAUGUACAUCCAUGGCUUGAUGGCAGGCUGUGUGCAUCCAUUCACAGCGAGUAGAAUCUAAGGUAGGAUGAGUCAGUUUGAGCUAAUUGUGUCGUUUUAAAUAAGAUUUCCAUAGAUGAACUAAGCACCUGGCCUUGGAACGCAGAAGCCGUUUAAUGUGGUGUUUGCUCUGUGUCGUGUCAGAUUGUGUUUGCUGAUUUCCAGUACCUGCCCUCUGCUGAGGAGCUGGGCUGUCCCCGGUUGUGUCUGCCACGUGCCGCUCCGGCGCUCUCCUGCCAUCCUGGCCGUGAGCUGGGAAUGUAAUCAUGACUAGGCAGGCGGUGCUCAGGCCACGUCUCCCAGGUUGCUGAAUCUGUUCAAAUGAAGGCAGAAAUGGAGAC